UACGAAGGGGGCGAGCGUUGUUCGGAAUUACUGGGCGUAAAGGGCGCGCAGGCGGCCUUUCAAGUCAGAUGUGAAAGCCCCGGGCUCAACCUGGGAAUGGCAUUUGGGACUGGAAGGCUCGAGAUCGGGAGAGGAGGGUGGAAUUCCCAGUGUAGAGGUGAAAUUCGUAGAUAUUGGGAAGAACACCGGUGGCGAAGGCGGCUCUCUGGACCGAUACUGACGCUGAGGCGCGAAAGCGUGGGGAGCAAACAGG
rnacentral:rRNA from 1 species